UAGGGAAUAUUGGGCAAUGGACGCAAGUCUGACCCAGCCAUGCCGCGUGAAGGAUGAAGGCCCUAUGGGUUGUAAACUUCUUUUGUACGGGAAAAAACCUCACCACGUGUGGUGAGCUGAUGGUACCGUGAGAAUAAGGAUCGGCUAACUCCGUGCCAGCAGCCGCGGUAAUACGGAGGAUCCAAGCGUUGUCCGGAUUUAUUGGGUUUAAAGGGUGCGUAGGCGGAUAAUUAAGUCAGUGGUGAAAUCUUGCGGCUCAACCGUAAAAUUGCCAUUGAAACUGAUUAUCUUGAGUACAGUUGAGGUGGGCGGAAUGUAUCAUGUAGCGGUGAAAUGCUUAGAUAUGAUACAGAACACCUAUUGCGAAAGCAGCUCACUAAACUGCAACUGACGCUGAGGCACGAAAGCGUGGGGAUCAAACAG
rnacentral:rRNA from 1 species